rnacentral:rRNA from 1 species
UACGGAGGGUGCGAGCGUUGUCCGGAAUCACUGGGCGUAAAGGGCGCGUAGGCGGCCUGGCAAGUCAAUGGUGAAAGCCCGAGGCCUCAACUUCGGGUCGGCCACUGAUACUGCUAGGCUUGAGUCGACUAGAGGCAGAUGGAAUUCCGGGUGUAGCGGUGGAAUGCGUAGAGAUCCGGAAGAACACCGGUGGCGAAGGCGGUCUGCUGGGCA